rnacentral:tRNA from 1 species
GCUAUUUUGGCAGAGAAAUGUAAUGGUUUUAGAAAUCAUAAAUAUAUAAAUAAUUAUAUAAGUAGUA